GAUGAACGCUGGCGGCGUGCCUAAUACAUGCAAGUCGAGCGAAUGGAUUGAGAGCUUGCUCUCAAGAAGUUAGCGGCGGACGGGUGAGUAACACGUGGGUAACCUGCCCAUAAGACUGGGAUAACUCCGGGAAACCGGGGCUAAUACCGGAUAACAUUUUGAACUGCAUGGUUCGAAAUUGAAAGGCGGCUUCGGCUGUCACUUAUGGAUGGACCCGCGUCGCAUUAGCUAGUUGGCGAGGUAAUGGCUCACCAAGGCAUAGACGGGUAGCUGGUCUGAGAGGAUGAUCAGCCACACUGGAACUGAGACACGGUCCAGACUCCUACGGGAGGCAGCAGUGGGGAAUAUUGGGCAAUGGGGGAAACCCUGACCCAGCCAUGCCGCGUGAGUGAUGAAGGCCUCGGUCGUAAGACGUCUGUGGGGAGGGAAAAGGAACGGAAUGUCCGUCGAACGAAUAGGGUGGUUGUUGUAUGGUACCGUCCUUACG
rnacentral:rRNA from 1 species